GAAGGUGCGGGAACGUCCACUCCCGCGCGCCUCUUUUGGGGGCCAGGGCUCGGGGACUGGAGCGGCCUUCCAGGAGGAGCUUCGUGAGCAACUGCGACCUGCGCAUAACUUGGAGCGCAGCCAGGGACGCGCAGGUUCCACGUCCGGCGCCUGGGGAGAAAAGACGCGCGUCCCCGGCCGCGGCGCCGGAGCCGGCUGGGGACCGCCUGGUCCCGGGCCAGACCUGGGAGGCGGUGUUCCGAGAGCCGCCUGGUCUGGGGUGCGGGGAGCGGGAAGCGGCCCUGCGUGUGCGCUUGGGCGAGGCCGGGCGGCGCUUCUGCCCUCCUACUCGGACCCUCAGGUGAAAGGAAAAAUUUUGGAAAAGUAAAACACUGAAGAGGCAUAGUAUUCUCCUGUAACUUGGAACUGGAGAGGAGGCAAGAUGCUGGCAUAGCUGUUGAACUGGGAACCUGCUAUGCCAACAUAUUGCCAUCUUUCCUGUCUGACAGCAGCCAUGGCCACCUUCAUGCCAGUCCUUCGUGUAUUGCUGUGUAUGUGCGCCCUUCCUUGGAGGUGGAUUUCCAUGACAUGGCCUUUCUCACCUCCCUGACUUCCGGUCCUGCUCUGCAGUGUGUCCUACCAUGAAUUCACUCCAUGCUAGCCACAUUGGCCUGUAUGUGUAUUCCUUGGACACACCUAGGAUGUUCUUGCCUAUUAGCUUGCCUACCUUUCUCUCAUCAUUUGAUGAGCGAGGACGUCAUCUCCUCAGAGAAGCCUUCCGUAACCAUGCUAUCUAAAAUACUCCAGCACUCCAGUCACCCUUUAUACCAUUACUCUAUUUUUUCAGAAACAUUGGUGCUUCCUGAAACAUAUUUGUUUACUUGCUUAGUGACUUUUCUUCCGCACAACCAUGUAAGCUUCUUGAGCGUUAGGGACCUUGUUAGGGAUAACCACUGUAUUCUUGGAGUGUGACACAUAGUAGGUUCUCAAUACAUAUUUUUGAAACUACCCUGAUGCAAAAGAUAUCAAAUAAUUAUAGCUUUUGCAUUACAAAUGUCUUUGGUGAAAUCCCUGGCUCAAAACUAAUAAUAAAGAAAUAAACAGAUGAUGUUGAGUUCUGGGCCUGCAAACCUAACUCUUUAAAGCAGUCAUAGUAAAUGUGUCAUUGGGUCCACAGACUCAUGGAAGUCAGCCUAUUUUAUUGGGAAAAGCGUGAGCUUCAAAAUAAAACUGAUGGUCAAAUCUCAUUACUGGUGUGUUCUUAAGUCAUUUAACCUCCGAGUGCCACAGUUUACACAAAUGGAAAAUGAGAAUAAUAAUACUGACUCCAUAGGACCCUCGAAAUAAGGAAAUAAGGUAUUUUUGUCAGGUGAUUUCUUAUCACAUGUCUAAAAAUUUAGUGUCUCUAAAAUUCUUGAUAUAUGCAUACUAGUAGACACUCAACAAAUUUAAUUGUUUCACUACUAAGAAAAAAGUUUUCUUUAGUUAGAGACAAGAGAUUGUAUGUGAAAUGUGUGGAAAUUCUAUGCCAGAACUAUAGUACAUGUAGAAUUCUUUGUAAAGACAGAAAUCUUGAGAGACCGAGGAGUUAAUUGUCAAGGAUUUCAAAUUCUUCUCCUGGUUAGUUCACAUUCCUCAUCUUCCUUUGUUUCUGGAGUUACUCAUUGUUUGUAGAUUUCUUUUAAAAGUGGUUUCUACACAUUCACUUUAAAGAGUAAGAAUGUUCAAUAAAUACAAUUGUAUUUUAAUGUUUAAUAAAUACUAAUGUUUAG
rnacentral:lncRNA from 1 species